GACGAACGCUGGCGGCGUGCUUAACACAUGCAAGUCGAACGGAAAGGCCCUGCUUUUGUGGGGUGCUCGAGUGGCGAACGGGUGAGUAACACGUGAGUAACCUGCCCUUGACUUUGGGAUAACUUCAGGAAACUGGGGCUAAUACCGGAUAGGAGCUCCUGCUGCAUGGUGGGGGUGGGAAAGUUUCGGCGGUUGGGGAUGGACUCGCGGCUUAUCAGCUUGUUGGUGGGGUAGUGGCUUACCAAGGCUUUGACGGGUAGCCGGGCUGAGAGGGGGACCGGACACAUUGGGACUGAGAUACGGCCCAGACCCCUACGGGAGGCAGCAGUGGGGAAUAUUGCACAAUGGGCGGAAGCCUGAUGUAGCAACGCCGCGUGCGGGAUGACGGCCUUCGGGUUGUAAACCGCUUUCGCCUGUGACGAAGCGUGAGUGACGGUAAUGGGUAAAGAAGCACCGGCUAACUACGUG
rnacentral:rRNA from 1 species